rnacentral:rRNA from 1 species
UAAAGAUUCAUCGCUAUAGGAUAGGCAUGCGUUCCAUUAGGCAGUUGGCGGGGUAACGGCCCACCAAACCGACGAUGAAUAGGGGUUCUGAGAGGAAGGUCCCCCACAUUGGUACUGAGACACGGACCAAACUCCUACGGGAGGCAGCAGUGAGGAAUAUUGGUCAAUGGGCGUAAGCCUGAACCAGCCAAGUCGCGUGAGGGAUGAAGGUUCUAUGGAUCGUAAACCUCUUUUAUAAGGGAAUAAAGUGUGGGACGUGUCCUAUUUUGUAUGUACCUUAUGAAUAAGGAUCGGCUAACUCCGUGCCAGCAGCCGCGGUAAUACGGAGGAUCCGAGCGUUAUCCGGAUUUAUUGGGUUUAAAGGGUGCGUAGGCGGCCUUUUAAGUCAGCGGUGAAAGUCUGUGGCUCAACCAUAGAAUUGCCGUUGAAACUGGGGGGCUUGAGUAUGUUUGAGGCAGGCGGAAUGCGUGGUGUAGCGGUGAAAUGCUUAGAUAUCACGCAGAACCCCGAUUGCGAAGGCAGCCUGCCAAGCCAUGACUGACGCUGAUGCACGAAAGCGUGGGGAUCAAACAGGAUUAGAUACCCUGGUAGUCCACGCAGUAAACGAUGAUCACUAGCUGUUUGCGAUACA